GACGAACGCUGGCGGCGUGCUUAACACAUGCAAGUCGAGCGGUAAGGCUCUUCGGGGUACACGAGCGGCGAACGGGUGAGUAACACGUGGGUGACCUGCCCUUAGCUCUGGGAUAAGCCUGGGAAACUGGGUCUAAUACCGGAUAUGACCUCAUGACGCAUGUUGUGGGGUGGAAAGCCUUGUGCGGCUGGGGAUGGGCCCGCGGCCUAUCAGCUUGUUGGUGGGGUGANGGCCUACCAAGGCGACGACGGGUAGCCGGCCUGAGAGGGCGACCGGCCACACUGGGACUGAGACACGGCCCAGACUCCUACGGGAGGCAGCAGUGGGGAAUCUUGCGCAAGUGGGACGAAAGCCUGACGCAGCGACGCCGCGUGAGGGAU
rnacentral:rRNA from 1 species